AACGUAGGAGACAAACGUUAUCCGGAGUUACUGGGCGUAAAGGGCGUGCAGGCGGUUUCUUAAGUUCGUCGUGAAAUCGCCCGGCUUAACCGGGCGGGGUCGAUGGAUACUGGGAGGCUAGAGGACGGUAGAGGCGUGUGGAAUUCCGGGUGUAGUGGUGAAAUGCGUAGAUAUCCGGAGGAACACCAGUGGCGAAGGCGACACGCUGGGCCGUACCUGACGCUAAGACGCGACAGCAUGGGGAGCGAACGGGAUUAGAAACCCCCGUAGUCC
rnacentral:rRNA from 1 species